rnacentral:rRNA from 1 species
UACAGAGGGUGCGAGCGUUAAUCGGAAUUACUGGGCGUAAAGCGAGCGUAGGUGGCUUGAUAAGUCAGAUGUGAAAGCCCCGGGCUUAACCUGGGAACGGCAUCUGAAACUGUCAGGCUAGAGUAGGUGAGAGGAAGGUAGAAUUCCAGGUGUAGCGGUGAAAUGCGUAGAGAUCUGGAGGAAUACCGAUGGCGAAGGCAGCCUUCUGGCUUAAUACUGACACUGAGGUGCGAAAGCAUGGGGAGCAAACAGG